UGGGGUCUGGGCAGAAUGUCCCUCCCUGCCUCUUUAAUUUCAGUUUGCCAGCUGCUUUUGUGUUUCUACUCUCUGUGCAUGUGGAGGUGGCUUCCUAGUGGGUCAAUUGCUCCUGUGAUGGGCCUGGGAGAAGAUGAUUGGGAAUUUUCUACUUACUGUUGUCUCUCUGUGCUUCUUUUUAAGUGUGCAGGUGGCAGGUCUGAGUUGAAGUACUGUGCAGCAGCCAGUUGCUCAUCAUCUGUUCUCCUGCAAAGAAGAUGCAAGAAAUGUUGUAUGCACUGAGCAAAUAUGAGAAUUACUGCAAAAAAAGGAGUGAACUGAAAACAAAAUAGCACCAAUUCUUUCAACUUUAUGCUUACACAGGUGAUUAUGACUCUACAAAAGCCCUGUGAAGAUAAGGUAAGACCUAAUUGAGAA
ensembl:lncRNA